rnacentral:rRNA from 1 species
CUACGGGGGGCAGCAGUAGGGAAUUUUCGGCAAUGGAGGAAACUCUGACCGAGCAACGCCGCGUGAAUGAAGACAUAUUUCGGUAUGUAAAGUUCUUUUAUUAGGGAAGAAUAGCCCAUGGAAAAAUGGGUGUGACGGUACCUAAUGAAUAAGCCCCGGCUAACUAUGUGCCAGCAGCCGCGGUAAUACAUAGGGGGCAAGCGUUAUCCGGAAUUAUUGGGCGUAAAGGGUGCGUAGGCGGCCAUUUAAGUCUUUGGUAUAAGUGCAGUGCUUAACGCUGUGAUGCUAAGGAAACUGAAUGGCUUGAGUGAGAUAGAGGCAAGUGGAAUUCCAUGUGUAGCGGUAAAAUGCGUAAAUAUAUGGAGGAACACCAGUGGCGAAGGCGGCUUGCUGGGUCUACACUGACGCUGAGGCACGAAAGCGUGGGGAGCAAACAGGAUUAGAUACCCUUGUAGUC